rnacentral:lncRNA from 1 species
UGCGCCUCCCCUUCCCCUUCCUCUCCCUCUCUACCUCUCUCCUCUCGAUGUGGUGGCGUACCGGCCGAGCCCGGCCGCAGUUGCCUACACGCAGGAUGGCUGCCGCAGUGCUGCUCCCUCCCGAGGUGUUUGCGUUACAGCCACCACGGCGGCCUCCGGCGGCGGCCGUGCCGAUGGUGACCCCCACGGGUCGUGCGCCGGUGAACCCCCUCCUCCACCACCUACCUCCUCCCUUCCCAUCUCUCUUCCUCGCUCCUCGUCGGAGACAACAAUGAUGAGCUAGGGUUUCGUGUCUCCUUCGCUUUCUAUCCCGGAUCGAAUGCGUCUCGCGUGGGUGAUGCCGUGCCCGCCUCCCGUUCCCCUCUCCCCCGUGCGGCCUCUUGCACGUGGCUCUGAUAGUGUCGUUACCUUUCUAAAUUCUUUUUUUAAUGCAUCCAGUUUACCUGCAUGUCAAAAUAAAUUUAAUUAUGUUUGUUGUUGUACCAGUUUGUUUUUGCUUUUCGUUGAAACAAAUUUAAAAUCUUAGUCUUUUUUAAGAUGGUACUGCAGGGUUUCCCAAAGGUGAAGUUAAAAUCAUAAAACGAGAGGUAUAUGCUUCUCUCCAUUUAUUUGUGCAAUGAUAUGUUGUCAGGUGUAACUCUGUGUGCUGAUCUAUGCCUUUGAUCCGUUGAAUUCAUUUCCUGUACGUAUGAAUUUGUUUUGCUCAUGCACAACAUUUGUGUUCUCACAGAAAAAAUCAGUGCUUGGCUCAAUGCAUUGU